GGGAGCUGAAUGUUGACAUUGUCAUUGUUGUAGAGAUUAGAGAAGUUUACCGCCGUUGUCUUGGUUUUGUUUUGAAAGUUGUACUUAUCCAUCGUGCGCUCACAUAGUAAACUGUAUUCGUGAAACGCUUCAUUAAAAGUUCUUGCUCGUUAAUGUACUAGUCGACUAGAUCGAACCUUGAGUGCAUCUUUCUUGGCAUUGGAGAAUGAUUGAAUUAGCUCUUUAAAAAUGCCGGAUAAAAAGAAACCUUCCCACUCAGCGAAGGUGCCUGCCAAAAAAAGUGGUAGGAGCACUAGUCCAUCGAAGAAGAAAGGCUCAAAGAAAGGUAAACGAAAAAAAUCAAGGUCUCGCUCUUUAUCCCCUCCUAAAACCAACAUUGACCUCAUGAGCAAACCAGCUAUGGAGAAUGCUUACUAUAUAGCCCAUAAUGCACCACAGUUCUUAGCCAUGCGCGGGUUUGGUUGGCAGGGAUCAACCGGUAAAACAAAAAAGAAAGGGAAGAAAAAGGGAAAAAAGAAGUAGUUGCUAUCAGAUUGAUGCAUUUCUUUGCACAACAUUGUGUAUGAGUGAAAAAAGUUAUUUGUACUUUAGAUUUUAAGAAAAUUUCUAUUAGAUUUAUAGAUUAUAGAUUUUUAUUGAAAACAUGUUAGGUUUUAUUGUUUGUUCUGCUGGUAUUUGUUGUUUUGUAUUGACAGUUCCACUUCAAGUACCUAAUCGUAGGUUAAUGAGCCAUGUUAUGGCAUUAUUUUUUAUUAAUAUAUUUCUGAUAAACACAUUUUUACAUAAAAGAACAUAUGUAAUAUGAUAGUUUUUAAUGUAUACAGAAUUUAUUCUAGAAACAAUAUAUCUACUUUAAGUUGAUAUAAAGAUAAAA